GACGAACGCUGGCGGCGUGCUUAACACAUGCAAGUCGAGCGGUAAGGCCUUUCGGGGUACACGAGCGGCGAACGGGUGAGUAACACGUGGGUGACCUGCCUCGCACUCUGGGAUAAGCCUGGGAAACUGGGUCUAAUACCGGAUAUGAUCACGGAUCGCAUGGUUUGUGGUGGAAAGAUUUAUCGGUGUGAGAUGGGCCCGCGGCCUAUCAGCUUGUUGGUGGGGUAAUGGCCUACCAAGGCGACGACGGGUAGCCGGCCUGAGAGGGCGAUCGGCCACACUGGGACUGAGACACGGCCCAGACUCCUACGGGAGGCAGCAGUGGGGAAUAUUGCACAAUGGGCGAAAGCCUGAUGCAGCGACGCCGCGUGCGGGAUGACGGCCUUCGGGUUGUAAACCGCUUUCGACAGGGACGAAGGGAAACUGACUGUACCUGUAGAAGAAGCACCGGCUAACUACGUGCCAGCAGCCGCGGUAAUACGUAGGGUGCGAGCGUUGUCCGGAAUUACUGGGCGUAAAGAGCUUGUAGGCGGUUCGUCGCGUCGAUCGUGAAAACUUGCGGCUCAACUGUGAGCUUGCGGUCGAUACGGGCG
rnacentral:rRNA from 1 species